GGGGCUGAUUCUGGAUUCGACGGGAUUUGCGAAACCCAAGGUGCAUGCCGAGGGGCGGUUGGCCUCGUAAAAAGCCGCAAAAAAAUAGUCGCAAACGACGAAACCUACGCUUUAGCAGCUUAAUAACCUGCUUAGAGCCCUCUCUCCCUAGCCUCCGCUCUUAGGACGGGGAUCAAGAGAGGUCAAAUCCAAAAGAGAUCGCGCGGAUGCCCUGCCUGGGGUUGAAGCGUUAAAACGAAUCAGGCUAGUCUGGUAGUGGCGUGUCCGUCCGCAGGUGCCAGGCGAAUGUAAAGACUGACUAAGCAUGUAGUACCGAGGAUGUAGGAAUUUCGGACGCGGGUUCAACUCCCGCCAGCUCCACCA
rnacentral:tmRNA from 1 species